AGAUGUUGGGUUAAGUUCCGCAACGAGCGCAACCCUCGUCACUAGUUACUAACGGUUCGGCCGAGGACUCUAGUGAGACUGCCUUCGCAAGGAGGAGGAAGGUGAGGACGACGUCAAGUCAUCAUGGCCCUUACGGCUAGGGCAACACACGUGCUACAAUGGCCAGGACAGUGAGACGCGAUACCGCGAGGUGGAGCAAAUCUAUAAACCUGGUCUCAGUUCGGAUUGUAGUCUGCAACUCGACUACAUGAAGCUGGAAUCACUAGUAAUCGUAGAUCAGCAAUGCUACGGUGAAUACGUUCCCGGGUCUUGUACUCACCGCCCGUCACACCAUGGGAGUUGAUUUCACCCGAAAUCGGGAAGCCAACCUUCGGGGGGCUACCGCUUACGGUGGAAUUAGCGACUGGGGUGAAGUCGUAACAAGGUAACC
rnacentral:rRNA from 1 species